GCGUGAGUGAAGAAGGCCUUCGGGUUGUAAAGCUCUUUUACCCGGGAUGAUAAUGACCGUACCGGGAGAAUAAGCCCCGGCUAACUCCGUGCCAGCAGCCGCGGUAAUACGGAGGGGGCUAGCGUUGUUCGGAAUCACUGGGCGUAAAGCGUGCGUAGGCGGCCAUUCAAGUCAGAGGUGAAAGCCCAGGGCUCAACCUUGGAACUGCCUUUGAAACUAGAUGGCUGGAACACGGGAGAGGUGAGUGGAAUUCCGAGUGUAGAGGUGAAAUUCGU
rnacentral:rRNA from 1 species